rnacentral:rRNA from 1 species
CCCUUAGAUGUUCUGGGCUGCACGCGUGCUACACUGAGUGGAUCAGCGGGUCAGGUUGCGCGAAAGCGUUUCCUAAUCUUUAAAUCCGCUCGUGAUGGGGAUUGACGGUUGCAAUUUUCUGUCAUGAACGAGGAAUACCUUGUAAGCGCGGGUCAUCAUCCCGCGCUGAAUACGUCCCUGCCCUUUGUACACACCGCCCGUCGCUCCUACCGAUUGAGUGGUCCGGUGAGGCUUUGGGAUCUGAGCGGAAAGAGCGUUUCGCUGUUUCUGCUCGGAAAACUCAGUCGAACCUUAUCAUUUAGAGGAAGGAGAAAUCGUAACA